ACCAAAGCCAACCGACCAUAUCUUGUGGGCAUACGCCCCUGGAUUCGUAAUGCCAUCAAAGGGACAUUGGAACUGGACAGCCGAGAACAAACGGGUGUUUCCGAGUCCAAGAAGAUGAUUCUGAGGCUCUGAAUAGCAGCUAAUCAAGUAUUCAGUUUUCAGGCUCAUCUUCCAUCUGUCUAGCUGCAAAAUGGUUCCCUUGCUUUGAAUAUCUUGAUUUGUGGGCUAUACAUUUGGUUGAAGUGCUUUGAUUAUCCCAAAAGUCUCAACAGGAAUAAAGAGAUCGACUUAAAGGUGAAAUUUCAUAUGCAAGGAAUCUAUCUGGCCUCUGAGGGCUGGAGAUUUUACUGAAUAGACAAGAUUAUUGAACGAAAAAGUUGUGAAACUUAUACUUGAGAAAAUGGUGAACAAGAGCCUGGGGAAAGAUAAGGAUGAGAUCAUAUUGGACCAGAGGCCUGCCUUCUUCAAGAUUUUUAAUCAACUUGUAGAGAAUAGACUGAAAAUUCCUCCGCAAUUUGUAAGGGAUGUUCUAAUAGGGAUACCUAAAAGAAUAAUCCUCGAGACUUCAUAUGGAAACUGUUGGUCUGUUAAAGUAGUCAAGACUGACGAUGGUGAUGUCUUUCUGGGAGAUGAUUGGCAGAAAUUUGUGGAAGAUAACUUGCUGCAGGAACAUGAUUUUCUCCUCUUCCAUUAUGAGCAUGGAGAUAGGUGCUUCACUGUUCAAAUUUUUGAUAAAAGUGGAGUGGAGAGAACAAAUCAAGAAGUUGCAAACUCAGGUACCAAAAACUUGGAUCAGCACACUACCCAUGUUCAACCAAGAGAGAAGAGUCAGAGUAGAGAAGAAGGUGCUACAUUGCAGGAAUUCUGCUCUCAGCAUCCUUUUUUUGAGACAAACAUCAAACGUUACAACGUUAAUCCUCCUUUUUUAAUGAUCAUACCCAAGUCAUUUGCAGAGAAACACUUCCAAAAGGCCAAGACAAAAAUCAGGCUGAAAAAUAUAGAAGGUAAAGAAUGGGAAGUGAAUUACACAAUUAACGGGGGAAACUUUGUUUUUGUGGGAGGAUGGACCAGAUUUGUGCGCGAUAAUAAGCUGAAGAUUGGCAAUGUCUGCAUAUUUGAACUUAUUGGUGAAAAGGUGCUCCAGGUCCAUAUUUCUGAUGAUUAGAAACAAGCAACUUUGGUAUGUGCAAGAUUCAAGCACUUGGAUAUAUCUUUCAAUGUUGUUGGAAGUAGCUGAAGUGGUGGAGUUGCACGUUCAAGCUACUGCAGAUCAGAGAACUUGAGUUGAUCAACCAUGCCCUCUCAGCUGAGCUCAUGUGCUAGUGGAUAUAUAGCAGCAAUUCAUUGGAAUAUUUGUAGCUUUCUUAUUAGUCUAGCUAGAAGGAAGUUAGAACAAUGUGCAGAGCCAAUGAGCUCAUUCUUUAGGCAUUUUGCUUGUAAUCAGAUUUGCUGAAAACAUGAUAUUAGCACUCUGAGCUUUCUUGUUUUA